ensembl:lncRNA
CCCCUAUUUACUGUAAGUUAGUCCAUGAUCGAUCUGUUCCUAUACUUUUGGUCUUGCCGCUCCAGUAGUUUCAGAGGGGACUGUAGCUAGGUCCAAAGUAUUUUAAAUGUCUCUACAUUUCUGUCACACUAAAACAAACACGGCACAAAUGAACACACAUCGCUACGGGACACUCCUCGAGUUUUCGCUCAUUUGCUCGCGUGCAUUUCGAGCUCCGCCUUCUCCCACACGUCUUUUUUUUUUCGCUCCGUUCUGAUCCGUUUUCGUACCAAACAGGAACCGAAUCGAGACGGUCAUCUCGGAUAUGGACUAACAGUUGAGAAAUUGGUGUGUAAUGAUGUCAUUAAGUCAUCAUCGGGAAGAAGAACGGGGCAGUAGGCUGUUUUGCACGCCAUGACGCAUCUGAAUUAAUGAUAGUCAUUUCUAACACUUCUUUGGAGGAGUAAUUAUAGAGCUUUGUAAACAACUUAGGAAGCAUUAUAAUCAAAGUCAUGAGGAUUUAAGAUCACAGGUUUCACAGACUGCACAAAUAACACUAACCUUACACCUCUAAUGCUGCAUUACACACACACACACACACACACACACACACACACACACACACACACACACACACACACACACAGCCUUAUAUUUGUUAACAUGAAAAAUACAUCAGACUGCAAUGCAUUGUGGGGAAAUUCUGCCCCUGAAAGCCUACAUUCAUAUACAUACACAUACAUCUCCAGUCCUGUUUAUUCAUGUUUACUCCUACAUUCAUGUUUAUUCAUGUUUACAUCUCCAUUCCUGUUUAUUCAUGUUUACUUCUACAUUCCUAUUUAUUCAUGUUUACUUCUACAUUCAUAUUUAUUCAUGUUUACUCCUACAUUCAUGUUUAUUCAUGUUUACUUCUACAUUCCUGUUUAUUCAUGUUUAUUUCUACAUUCAUGUUUAUUCAUGUUUACUCCUACAUUCAUGUUUAUUCAUGUUUACUCCUACAUUCAUGUUUAUUCAUGUUUACUCCUACAUUCAUGUUUAUUCAUGUUUACUCCUACAUUCAUGUUUAUUCAUGUUUACUCCUACAUUCAUGUUUAUUCAUGUUUACUCCUACAUUCAUGUUUACUUCUACAUUCCUGUUUAUUCAUGUUUACUCCUGCAUUCAUGUUUAUUCAUGUUUACUCCUACAUUCAUGUUUAUUCAUGUUUAUUUCUCCAGUCCUGUUUAUUCAUAUUUAUUUCUACAUUCAUGUUUAUUUCAUGUUUACUUCUACAUUCAUGUUUAUUCAUGUUUACUCCUACAUUCAUGUUUAUUCAUGUUUACUCCUACAUUCAUGUUUAUUCAUGUUUACUCCUACAUUCAUGUUUACUUCUACAUUCCUAUUUAUUCAUGUUUACUUCUACAUUCAUGUUUAUUCAUGUUUACUUCUACAUUCCUAUUUAUUCAUGUUUACUCCUACAUUCAUGUUUAUUCAUG